rnacentral:snRNA from 1 species
GGAUGUGGGAACGACAUGGCUGUGAUAUCUGUCACCCCGUUGAUCACCUGGGUUGAUUUGGCUGAUCUGGCUGGCUAGGAGUGUGUUCCCUUCCUCCCUCACCACUCCACAUGCGUUCUUCCCAAAUAGAGAUGAACUGGUCUGUGGUAGAGGGUAUAUGUGUAGCUGUGCUCCCCUGCUAGAUGCUAUGAGAUAAGCGCUCUUGUCAUCCUUGGAAGAGACUGAAGAACAGAGGUUGAGUAAUGUGCAUAAUGUCACAUACUGU